UACAGAGGGUGCAAGCGUUAUUCGGAAUCACUGGGCGUAAAGAGUUCGUAGGCGGUUUGUUAAGUCGAAUGUGAAAGCCCUGGGCUCAAUCCAGGAAGUGCAUUCGAUACUGGCAAGCUGGAGUGCAGGAGAGGAAGGCGGAAUUCCAGGUGUAGAGGUGAAAUUCGUAGAUAUCUGGAGGAACAACAGAGGCGAAGGCGGCCUUCUGGACUGUCACUGACGCUGAGGAACGAAAGCGUGGGGAGCAAACAGGAUUAGAUACCCUGGUAGUCCACGCUGUAAACGAUGGGUACUAGAUGUCUGGGGCUCUUACCCCCUAGGUGUCGCAGCUAACGCAUUAAGUACCCCGCCUGGGAAGUACGGUCGCAAGAUUAAA
rnacentral:rRNA from 1 species